AAUGUGUGAGGUGGUGCUAUGUAGCAGGAACCCCUCUUGCUUUGCAAAUAGUUUUUUGUUUGUUUUCCUUUUUGCCCAAUAGAGCCCUGCUCUACUGACCCUUCAAUGUGCCCGUGUGCCUAAAUAUUCCUGGUCGUGUGAAAAGAACCCAGGUAUUAGCUGAACUAAGGAGCACAAUUCUGCAACAUUUUGGCACCCAAACACGGGGCUUGAGAAAUGAAUGCAAUUGGAGAAACUGGUUGUUUUACCAGGCGUUGAUUGGAAAUGUGUGCUUCCCUUUAAGCAGUCAAGCUCAACUUGCAGAACUGAUGGGAACCCCUUGGGAAAACUGGCCUCAAAUGUUUGUCUACACAGUCCACAUACAGGGUUCUUAACCUGCGAUGAGGGAAACUUCCCAGGGCUUGUCUGGGUAUGCCCACAGUGGACUGGAGCCCAAAAUGCACACUGGAGGAAGUGGAUGGAGCCACGUGGAUGUCAUGCCUUAUGCAGGGGAGGAGCCUGCUCUCUUCAGCUCCUGUGGUAAUGUGGGAAUCGAUCUGUGAGGAAACACUUUCUGAAAAUGUCAGAACUCUUGAAAACAUGGAUGAGGAAAAGCAUAAGUACUGCUUUAUGCUUUUCUUAUGAAUUUUAAAAGAUGUAAUUUAAAGAUUGAAACUCCCACAACUUUGGCAGACCAACUCCUCAGAAAACAUUAUUCUUUGACAUCAAUAUGUUUUGCACAAAAUUGAAUGGCAAGUGAAAGGCAUCAAAUGGAGCUGUCAUUUAAAUGUGCUUGCCAACUAGCUUGUUUAUCAAAACAUUCCAGACCCUUUCAAAUUCUCAUUUACAUUGUUUCUUGUUUACCACACCCAUAAAUUUGUAUUACCAGCAUAUUUAACUAUCCGGCUAUUUUGGAGAUUGAAAAAAGAAGACCUGAUUUAUCAUGUGCAAUAUCUCACACAUCUGUCAUUUC
rnacentral:lncRNA from 1 species